GAAAGUUGUGUCUGAAGUCUGAAGUAUGAAUAAUGAGAAAUGAAAACUGCUUGACAAAGUGUGAAAUUUUUUUGAACGUUGUCGUAAUAUGAGUGAGUUGAAGAGACAUUUUUAAGAUCAGUUUCCAGCUCCUCUACACUCUAGAGCUAAACAUCAGUGUGAGAAAGUCUGAAAUAGUUCACUUCAAACAAAGUUGAAUAUUUUGAAGUUUUGAUGGGAUUCGAAAGUUGAAUGACACCUUGAAUGUCUGAAAGAUCUGGAAUAUUUUAAGUUAAGAUGUCUGCUGUGAGACAGGCCUCCUGCACUUGGGGACGUGGUUGAUGACACAGAUAGGUGAUGUUGUUAGUAGCCAUAGACUGUCUACAAAAUUGGACGUAGUCACUGUGCAUAGAAAGUGAAUCCAAUGCAGAAAAGCCUGAAACCUGCAUUCUAUGGAAUCUCCAGCAGAGGGCGACUCCACUGGUUGCAAGAAGGAACUUCCCUCAAUCUGCUCCGCUGCAGGACGUGCUGGGACACGGCCCAAACAGAACGCUGACAGAGACCGAAUCGUUUACCGUCACGCUUGUUAACUCUGCAUUCAGAGGCUGGAAGAGGUGGCGUGACUCUUUUGUGAGGCGAAAAGAGUUUGAGAGAAAUGGCAAAACUUGAUGACUGGUCUGUCAUGUUGCAUUCGGCCCUUUUGAGUACCACGCUACAAACUCAGAAACUCAAAGGGAUCGGAAAUAUAAACGUACAUGAUUUUAGCUUUAUAAAUUAAAUGAAUUAUUUAUGUUACGUUCAAGCUUCCUUCAGGUUAGCUGCCUCUGAUUGGUUUCUGUAUAGGUGGCAGCAGAAAAGAAGAAAAACAACCAGAAACCAAAAAUCCAGACUUUCUCUCUUGUGGAAUAUUAAAAACCAGAAUGUGUUGAGGAGAAAGAUCAACAAACCGAAUCCACAGUGGAACUUCAUUAAUACUGCAAGUGCGAGGUUCUGGAAAUUGAACUGCAUGGUAAUUGUCUCCAAAGUUUGAGUGACAUAUUUUCCAAAUGCUUGACACAUUGAUUUUUACUUUGCAUGGCCUUAAAAAAAACACCUCCUCCAAUACAAAAGCUGCUGCUGUGUAUUCAUCUCAGGUUUUACACAAAAUUAAUUUCAUAUAGAGAAAAAGGAGGAACAACUGAUGGCAAAACAUUGGAUCUGUGACUCGCUUACAUCUGCUAUUUCAGUUGAACUAUAACUAAAUAUCUUUGUCUU